GCGGGGUAGGGGAGCGUUGUGUAAGUGGCUGAAGGUGUGCCGGGAGGCAUGCUGGACAUAUCACAAGUGCGAAUGCUGACAUGAGUAACGACAAUGCGGGUGAAAAACCCGCACGCCGGAAGACCAAGGGUUCCUAUCCCAUGUUAAUCAGGGUAGGGUGAGUCGACCCCUAAGGCGAGGCCGAAAGGCGUAGUCGAUGGGAAACGGGUUAAUAUUCCCGUACUUGGUAUAAAUGCGAUGGGGGGACGGAGAAGGCUAGACAGGCACGGCGUUGGUUGUCCGUGUGAAAGUAUGUAGGCUUGAAUCUUAGGAAAAUCCGGGAUUCUUUAAGGCUGAGAUACGAGACGACACUCUACGGAGUGGAAGCUGUUGGUGCCAUACUUCCAGGAAAAGCCUCUAAGCUUCAGUUUAUACCGAAUCGUACCCCAAACCGACACAGGUGGUCAGGUAGAGAAUACUAAGGCGCUUGAGAGAACUCGGGUGAAGGAACUAGGCAAAAUAGUACCGUAACUUCGGGAGAAGGUACGCUCCUACCUGUGAUGAGACGUGCUCUCUAAGCGGACGGGAGUCGCAGUGACCAGGUGGCUGGGACUGUUUAUUAAAAACACAGCACUCUGCUAAAUCGCGAGAUGACGUAUAGGGUGUGACACCUGCCCGGUGCCGGAAGGUUAAUUGAUGGGGUUAGCGUAUGCGAAGCUCUUGAUCGAAGCCCCGGUAAACGGCGGCCGUAACUAUAACGGUCCUAAGGUAGCGAAAUUCCUUGUCGGGUAAGUUCCGACCUGCACGAAUGGUGUAACCAUGGCCACGCUGUCUCCACCCGAGACUCAGUGAAAUUGAAAUCGCAGUGAAGAUGCUGUGUACCCGCGGCUAGACGGAAAGACCCCGUGAACCUUUACUACAGCUUGGCACUGAACAUUGAGCCUACAUGUGUAGGUUAGGUGGGAGGCUUUGAAGCAGAGACGCCAGUUUCUGUGGAGCCAUCCUUGAAAUACCACCCUUGUAUGUUUGAUGUUCUAACGUUGGCCCCUGAAUCGGGGUUGCGGACAGUGCCUGGUGGGUAGUUUGACUGGGGCGGUCUCCUCCCAAAGAGUAACGGAGGAGCACGAAGGUUGGCUAAGUACGGUCGGACAUCGUACGGUUAGUGUAAUGGUAGAAGCCAGCUUAACUGCGAGACAGACACGUCGAGCAGGUACGAAAGUAGGUCAUAGUGAUCCGGUGGUUCUGAAUGGAAGGGCCAUCGCUCAACGGAUAAAAGGUACUCCGGGGAUAACAGGCUGAUACCGCCCAAGAGUUCAUAUCGACGGCGGUGUUUGGCACCUCGAUGUCGGCUCAUCACAUCCUGGGGCUGAAGUCGGUCCCAAGGGUAUGGCUGUUCGCCAUUUAAAGUGGUACGCGAGCUGGGUUUAGAACGUCGUGAGACAGUUCGGUCCCUAUCUGCCGUGGGCGUUUGAGAAUUGAGAGGGGCUGCUCCUAGUACGAGAGGACCGGAGUGGACGAACCGCUGGUGUUCGGGUUGUGAUGCCAAUUGCAUUGCCCGGUAGCUACGUUCGGAAUCGAUAACCGCUGAAAGCAUCUAAGCGGGAAGCGAGCCUCGAGAUGAGUUCUCACUUGGAGUUUAACUCCACUGAAGGGCCGUUGAAGACUACAACGUUGAUAGGCAGGGUGUGGAAGCGCUGUGAGGCGUUAAGCUAACCUGUACUAAUUACCCGUGAGGCUUAACCAU
rnacentral:rRNA from 1 species